rnacentral:lncRNA from 1 species
CACAAAAAGAAAAUGAUAAGGGCAGGCGCGUGGAGGUGUUUAUGUUUUCAACUCCAGCCAAUUACUUGAGACCUAAAACAACAGUUAGUGCAGAUGGAAGGGUACGGAUUAUGACGCGGACUACAAUGGAAACCCAAAUCUCCUCUUGCAGAGCGAGCCCGGCACCCAGCUGUCGUCCACUUGCAUUUAGUGUGGCUGCCACCCAGCAAUUAGCACGCCUGGGCUGUCCUUUGGAAAGGGAGCAGAGAAGAACAAUACCACAGCGAGUUCUCCUGGACCCGAAAGCAGGUAAAAGAAAUCAUUGAGUCCCCCGCCUUCAGAAGAGGGUGCAUUUUCAGGAGGAAGCGAUGGCUUCAGACAGCAUAUUUGAGUCAUUUCCUUCAUACCCACAGUGCUUCAUGAGAGGUGAGUACAUGCUGGUCUUGUAAUACCUCCUUUUGCUCAGCUUUGCCUGUAAUGAAAUGGCAGCCUGCUUCACCUCGGUGCAGAGAUACCUCGGUGCCUGCCGGGUCCCUGUCUGGUUUGUGGGAGGAAUUCAAACUGAGGCAUAUGAUUACAAGGCUAUUGGAUUACUUACUCAUCAGAUGGAAGCUCUUCAGAAAUGUUUUAAUAAAUACUUAGUUAUGCUGUUGGAGUGUUCAGUCGGUGCGUGAGAACUUUGUCAAGUGUGAGUAAGUCGUGCUGGUCUUGUUUAAAGGCUUAGAGAUUACGAAGCUUGCACGAAGCUCCCUGGGUUUUAUUUUGCUGUCCCUUGCCCAGAAUGACUGUGUCUGAGUUAUCCUGAACUCGGCAUGCUGUGUGGCCCAGAAUGCAGCCUGCCCUGGGGCUUAGCAGGCACAUGCACAGAGCCAGCCAGGAGGGCUGGUGCCAGUGUGGGGCAGGAGGUGGAGGCUCUCAGAUAGCCUUGCACCAGCCUGGGGACUUCAGGGCCAAAGUGGCAAGGCAGCUGUCUCUACAAGGCAGAGAGUACAGGAGCCUGACAGAUUUGCUUAGGUGAAAAUCACCAGCACGGGGCUGUGCUGUGUUUUUCCUUGUCGCCUCAAUGCAAACAGACGGCCAGCAUCUUUCCAGAGAGAAAGGAAGCAGACUGUGGCAUACCGAGGUCUCUCUGGAAAACGGCAAUGAAGAAGGUUCCCAAGUUAAGCAUUCUCACAGCUGAAGUCGUUAGAUUACAGGCUUCUGAAUAGGAACAGCCAGGGUGGAAAACCUGUCUCCAUUUUUGAAACCAGCCUCUUGAAAUGCACAAAGCUGUGGUUGAGCUGUGAGUGUGUGAGUGUGUGUGUGCCUGUGUGUCUUGUGUAUCUUUCGUGGUAAAAGAGGGCUGUGCUUAAACAAACAAAAAUAAUAACAUAAAAUGUCACAAAGGCAUUGCCGUGUGCGUCGGGGCACGCACUCUGACCAUUGCCUGCAAAGUGUUUCUUGAUGGUUUGGCAAAGCCGAGAUGGAGUGGGCUGGGAUAGGAGAAUAAUUAAUUUUCUGGCUACAGACUCUCUUGAGCACCCAAAUAGUAUCUGUGACUCAUUAUUUAUUCAUACAGCUAAGUGAGCAGGGGAAUGCAGAGGGCUUGCCAGUCACUUUAUCACAGCAAAUGCUAUUGUGAAUGCACAGGGCUCUAUGUUUCCGGGUCCCUGAUAUUAAAAAACUUGACGAGAGAGAGAGAGAGAGGGUGUGUGUGUGUGUGUGUGUGUGUGUGUUGGGGAUGGCAAGAGAGAAGUUAAAGGGAAAGAGAAGAAAGCAAGUCAUUAACCAGCUCAAGUUUCAAAUUAAAGAGUUUUCAAGUGCUUCUUUACUGGCAGCAGAGGGAAUUUUAGUGAAGUUGAAUCAUGCAGACAUGCAUUAGUCACUAGUCUUGCAGCGUCGUUCGGUUGGUAACACAGACACACCGGCCACUGGUAAAGAGCUGCAAACGGCUCCCUGGCUGCAUUUCCUCUGGGCUGCUAACAAGCAGAGGAAGCAAUAUUUGUUGAAUAACAGAAAGAAAGAUCUUCCUGACUUUACUCCACUUUCAAUACCCCCUCGGAACGUGUAUUGUUUCCUAUUUUAUCAACUCAGGAAGGCAGAUUCAGGAAAUUUUUAAGCAUUCCAUUGAGCAAUAGGUUGGAUUUCAGUGUGCAGUGCUGGCCCCUGGGCUCUCCUUACUGGCCAACAGCAAAGAUGGUGAGGGACACGGUGACCCGUGCAGACAUCAGGAAAUAGCAGGAGUGCCGCUGUCUCCCAGACAAGCCCAGGGCUCCUAUGCCCAGUGGACACUCCGCUGACCUGCCCUUGAUUAGGAACGAAGGUCGGUUAUUUUUCACGGGGGCAGUGUAGGGAGGGCCUGAGCUCACACCAAGACUCAAAAGGGCUAAUCUGGAAAGGUUUUUCCACUCCUUCCUUUCAGUGAAAGGAACUCAGGGUUCUUUAGAAUCUCUAAUUUGAUAAUAUAAUAUUGAGAUUUGCUAUCAGAGGGCCGGGUGAAAUCUUGGCAAUUUCCUGGUGAAUUUCAUCCAAGUGAUCCAUCAACAGAAAGGUUUAAAUUGUCCAGGUUAGCUGUCCACAUCAUUCACCGGAGCCAGAGAGGUGGCAAAAUAUCAUUUCUUUUGGUACCGUUUGGUCAUCGUCUUAGAGCCUGAUGCUAGAAGAACCACCAUCCCUGCCAACAAAUGGCUCUCCCCCAGAGUUCUCAGCCUGUUGCCAUAGC